AAACUUUCAACAACGGAUCUCUUGGUUCUGGCAUCGAUGAAGAACGCAGCGAAAUGCGAUAAGUAAUGUGAAUUGCAGAAUUCAGUGAAUCAUCGAAUCUUUGAACGCACAUUGCGCCCCCUGGUAUUCCGGGGGGCAUGCCUGUUCGAGCGUCAUUACAACCCUCAAGCUCUGCUU
rnacentral:rRNA from 1 species